rnacentral:rRNA from 1 species
GACGAACGCUGGCGGCGUGCUUAACACAUGCAAGUCGAACGGAAAGGCCCUGCUUUUGUGGGGUGCUCGAGUGGCGAACGGGUGAGUAACACGUGAGUAACCGGCCCUUGACUUUGGGAUAACUUCAGGAAACUGGGGCUAAUACCGGAUAGGAGCUCCUGCUGCAUGGUGGGGGUUGGAAAGUUUCGGCGGUUGGGGAUGGACUCGCGGCUUAUCAGCUUGUUGGUGGGGUAGUGGCUUACCAAGGCUUUGACGGGUAGCCGGCCUGAGAGGGUGACCGGCCACAGUGGGACUGAGAUACGGCCCAGACUCCUACGGGAGGCAGCAGUGGGGAAUAUUGCACACUGGGAGGAAGCCUGAUGCAGCACCGCCGCGUGCGGGAUGACGGCCUUCGGGUUGUAAACCGCUUUCGCCUGUGACGAAGCGUGAGUGACGGUAAUGGGUAAAGAAGCACCGGCUAACUACGUG